rnacentral:rRNA from 1 species
UACAGAGGUCUCAAGCGUUGUUCGGAUUCAUUGGGCGUAAAGGGCGCGUAGGCGGCGGGGUAAGUCGGGUGUGAAAUCUCAGAGCUCAACUCUGAAACUGCACUCGAUACUGCUCUGCUUGAGGACUGGAGAGGAGACUGGAAUUCACGGUGUAGCAGUGAAAUGCGUAGAUAUCGUGAGGAAGACCAGUGGCGAAGGCGGGUCUCUGGACAGUUCCUGACGCUGAGGCGCG